AGUGAACGCUGGCGGCGUGCCUAACACAUGCAAGUCGAACGAUGAUGAUGGAGCUUGCUCUAUCUGAUUAGUGGCGCACGGGUGAGUAAUGCAUAGAUAAUGUGCCCCUUAGUUCGGGAUAGCCACUGGAAACGGUGAUUAAUACCGGAUACUCCUUCUUGUCUCAAGGCAAGUCGGGAAAGUUUUUCGCUAAGGGAUCAGUCUAUGUUCCAUCAGGUAGUUGGUGAGGUAAUGGCUCACCAAGCCUAUGACGGAUAUCUGGUUUGAGAGGAUGAUCAGACACACUGGAACUGAGACACGGUCCAGACUCCUACGGGAGGCAGCAGUGAGGAAUAUUGCACAAUGGAGGAAACUCUGAUGCAGCAACGCCGCGUGGAGGAUGACGCAUUUCGGUGUGUAAACUCCUUUUAUUAGGGAAGAUAAUGACGGUACCUAAUGAAUAAGCACCGGCUAACUCCGUGCCAGCCGCCGCCGUAA
rnacentral:rRNA from 1 species